GCCCCAGUAGCUUAACACUAAAAGCAUUGGCCUUGUAAACCAAAGAUUGAAGAUUAAAAUUCUUCCU
rnacentral:tRNA from 1 species